UACGUAGGGACCGAGCGUUGUCCGGAAUCAUUGGGCGUAAAGAGCGUGUAGGCGGCUAUUUAAGUCCUGCGUGAAAUCCUGCGGCUCAACCGCAGACGGUCGUGGGAAACUGGAUGGCUAGAGUGCGGGAGAGGAGAGUGGAAUUCCCGGUGUAGCGGUGAAAUGCGCAGAUAUCGGGAAGAAUAUCCGUGGCGAAGGCGGCUCUCUGGUACGGCACUGACGCUGAGACGCGAAAGCGUGGGGAGCGAACAGG
rnacentral:rRNA from 1 species